UCAGUCUUAUAAUCUUUGUUUUAUGUUAAUGCUGGUCAGCUGUGCCUAGACUCCAAAGGAGGAGGGUAUAACUAGGUAUGUCUGACUCCUGCCCUAUGAUGACAGCCUGAACUAGUUUUUCAGGUUUCUCCGGGAUCCUCUUGGCCAAGAGGGCUCCAUUCAGUUGGUGGGGUGCUUAUAAUUGUUUUUUGAUUGACAUAGGCAAUAGGGAGCUAUUGAGCAUUCUCAAUGACAUGGCCACAUUUUUUUUUUUAGAAUAAUGAUUGGCAACAUCCUGGUUGAGGAUGAUUUAGAUAUGAAAGAUAUUACAAAGGAAUGGCUUCUGUUUGGUUGUUUUACUAUUAACACUACAGUUAUUAUUUAAAAAACAAGUCCUGCCUUUGGUGGAUAUUUCACCUUUUAAUCAUACAUUUGUGGAGUGCAAGUAUUUGAUGUGAAUUACUGACUGUAGACUAUCAACAAUAUUUCAGGUGGUGGAAAACUUCAUCAUCCUGUGCUGAAAGAAUUAAUCAAGGUGUAAAGGGAAGAUUUAAGUCUAUGAUUCUCAACCUUGGUUGCAUAUUGGAGUCACCUGGGGAGCUGUAAAAAAAUACAGAUGUCUGGGUCUCACCAUAGAGAAGUCUGGGUUGAUGUCCAGGCAGCAGGACUUUAAAAGCUUACCAGGUUAAUUUUAAUGCCCAGCCAAGAUUGAAAACUACUAGCAAGAGAACCAGCAGUCUGGAGAGUUGGAAGCCAAACCUAGUGCUGAAUUUGCUGACUGGUCUUCUCCUAUAGAGAUGCUAGUCCUAGGCUUGGUCCUCAGCCACUUUCUAUCUCUAGCCCAACUUCUGUGCCAUCUUCCUGCUUUCAGUGAUUCAGCUGCCAGUAGGCAGGCCUGUUUGGGACUGCUUGGUCACAGUUGGAAGACAAGUGCAAUUUUUGGUGUAGGCUGACCAGGCCAUCGCUGGCUGGGCUUUGCUGGCCAGAACUCAGAGAAGUUGUGAGGUUCUGUUUUGGAAUUAUUAAUUAAGGGCUUUCCAACUCAUCUAGCAGAAAGAGCCUCCACUUCUACCAAAGCAUUCCAUUUGGCUUUGGAGUUCUGACAAGCCUGCCUGUGGGGUCUCAAAUGUCACUCUACAGUCACCAGUCUUUCAGUAAUGGCCUGUGGUUGGCUAUAGCUGUUCAGGAAAUUAAAAUUCCAAAGUUCAAGGCAUUACUAUUAUUUUAUUUUUGGCAGAGUGAGGGGUACGAACUGAAGGAGCCCCAGGAGGUACUGCCUAGGUAUGGGUGGGUGAGGAGGGGGGCGGUCCCAGGAUUCAGAGUAAGGAGUGGAGUUCGACUGUGAGCUCCCUCUCCUAGAAAUGACUGGCUGUAUGUCUAUCUAGGAGAGCGGUCAUAAGCAGAGGGUUUCCUUCCUGAGGUCAGACUUGAUUAACCUUGGGAUUGGCACAAAUAGAAACUUAGCUUCUGGAGUAUGUGGUGCAGACUGGCAUUGAGAAAGUAAUCAUAUAAAUUGUUAACCUAGAACUUCUCCGUGUCUUAUCACUGGACUCAGGGCAAAGUCUCCCUUCUAGGUUUCUCUGGCACUUGUGGCCUGGGCUGUGCUGGUGUUUCCAGCCUCAUCUCUACCAUGGCUGCACUCCCAUUCCUCUUCCUCCCAUUCUCUCCUUCCCCCAUUGUGCAUUUACUCUGUGCCAGGGAUUUGACCUGGAUUAUUUCUCUUGGAGAUAGGCAUGGAUUAUCUAACUUGCCCGGAUGGACUUGGUUAAAGGUGACUGUCCAGCUCUGGUGGGAGGACAAUGUCUCCCCUUUCUGGGGACUUUGGGGCAUUUGACAAGACCAUUAGUACUUAAAGACGGAUGUUGUGCCUGAGGGUGGUAGGGCGGUCACAGAGAGAAGUGACUCUUUACAUUUCAAAUGCAAUUAAAUUAUUGCUCACCCCCAAACCUCUGAUGCCAACUACAGCAUGACUCUAGGAAGCUUCACAGCAUUUCCUGUUGGGGCAUUUCAGACUUCAAGGGGGCAUUUCCCAUUACAGAUAUAAAGAAGGGAUGCUGACUUCUGAAUUAGAGAAUCAGUACCUGGAAGCUGACUGUAGCACUCAUCAGCUAUGUGAACUUGGCAGUGUUUUGUAGAAGAAACAGGGGAUUGGAAUCAGACUGCAUUUGAAUGCAGAUUCUCCCUUAUAAUGGUGCCAUAUCAGGCUGGCAUAUUUCAUUAGAAGCGUGGGAACCCUCAAGGACCCUGGGUACUCACUUGACGUUGAGAGAUGAGCCAUGUGUUUGUUACCUUCAGCUUCAGAACUUGAAGUUUCAGGGAAUCUGUUGAUGACUGGGCCAUGGAAUUAGAGGAGCAUGUUUUGGACUACAAGCAGUGGAGAUAAGAAUCCCCAACUCAUCCAUCAUCAGCUUUGUAA